GAUGAACGCUGGCGGCGUGCCUAAUACAUGCAAGUCGAGCGAACAGACGAGGAGCUUGCUCCUCUGACGUUAGCGGCGGACGGGUGGGUAACACGUGGAUAACCUACCUAUAAGACUGGGAUAACUUCGGGAAACCGGAGCUAAUACCGGAUAAUAUAUUGAACCGCAUGGUUCAAUAGUGAAAGACGGUUUUGCUGUCACUUAUAGAUGGAUCCGCGCCGCAUUAGCUAGUUGGUAAGGUAACGGCUUACCAAGGCAACGAUGCGUAGCCGACCUGAGAGGGUGAUCGGCCACACUGGAACUGAGACACGGUCCAGACUCCUACGGGAGGCAGCAGUAGGGAAUCUUCCGCAAUGGGCGAAAGCCUGACGGAGCAACGCCGCGUGAAUGAUGAAGGUCUUCGGAUCGUAAAACUCUGUUAUUAGGGAAGAACAAAUGUGUAAGUAACUAUGCACGUCUUGACGGUACCUAAUCAGAAAGCCACGGCUAACUACGUG
rnacentral:rRNA from 1 species